rnacentral:lncRNA from 1 species
GCAUUGUAUGGAAAACUAAACACAACACUACUACUGAAAUUGUACAGUCUUUAACAGAUAAGAGUUUAGAUUUAUAUCUAAAAGUAGAGCAAAUUGAAGAAAGAACCAUUCAUUUUUUAGACAUACAUGUAACCAUAGAAAUGGGGAAUAUUACACAAAUAUAUACAAAAAACAUCAGCAUACACUCCUGUUGUUAUACCAGCAUCGUCCCAAGAUCCCAUGAAAUAUAAAAUGGCAUCAUUUAGGAUUCUCUUUUGUAGAAUACACACAGUGCAUGAAGCAAGAAGAUAAGAGACAAAGAGUACCACUAUAUAAUUACACAUGGUUGGAAGUAUGGUUAUAAGUAUAAAACUAUGAAAACCAUAUAUAAUAACAUUAUUAAAUCAAUGACCAAUGCUCAUGUAACAGCAACACUGCAGAAUAGUAGUCAGUCUAGUUCUCUUGUAUGCAAUCCCAUAAUAGACAAAGUUGUAAAAAAGUUCCCAAAGACAACCCAUGCAAUCAUGUUUUUAAGAGAAAAAGUACUAUCUUUGCAAGUUUAAGAAAUGACAUAAAACCCAGUGAACAACAUGAGGAGGUUGGGAGUGUAUGCAAUUCCAGUGUAUAACAAUUCUCUACGAAUUCCAGAGCAUUAUACAGGUAGGACAAAAAAGUGUCUAAACAUUAGAAUUGCAGAAUACAAAAUAGAUAUAAGAACUGGUAAGUUAAGUACUUCAUUGGCUAUUAAAGCCUACAAAGAUGACCUCUCUAUUUAUUGGAAUAAUACAAAUAUAAGACCCAUCAUGAGCAACAUAUAAACAACAGUCGGUCAUCAGCUCUAAGCCAAAGUGGGGGGCAGGUACAUGCAGCAGAG